rnacentral:rRNA from 1 species
UACGGAGGGGGCUAGCGUUGUUCGGAAUUAUUGGGCGUAAAGCGCGCGCAGGCGGUCCUUUAAGUCUGAUGUGAAAGCCCACGGCUCAACCGUGGAGGGUCAUUGGAAACUGGGGGACUUGAGUACAGAAGAGAAGAGUGGAAUUCCACGUGUAGCGGUGAAAUGCGUAGAGAUGUGGAGGAACACCAGUGGCGAAGGCGACUCUUUGGUCUGUAACUGACGCUGAGGCGCGAAAGCGUGGGGAGCAAACAGG